AAAUGUUGGCUUCUACAAUUAAAUCUGAAAUUCUGCAUCUGAUAUUGCAGGUUUUGAUUGUUUAGGAUUAAGGUGAAUCUAAUUAUAAGAAACAAUGAUAGGCAUGGCAUGCGAGAGAAGAAACUUCAAACUCAUUUGAAAAAGAGGUAUUAUACUACUGAAGAAGGAGAUAAAAGAAAGGAAAGGAAUGCCAAGAAGAUCUUUUAAAAGCAUGGAAUACAAAAGAGGUUCAUUGAAACCCUAAAAAAAGCAGCUGCAUCCUCUCUACCCAAACGAAAAAGUGAGACGAAAAUAUCGACAUAGGCUGGUAUCUACCGACACAGAGCUUGGAAAAGUGCAGAAGAGUGAUUCAUCCAUGAGAAACUCUACAGCUACACCUGCAGAUGUGGAAAAUCGGUGCUAAUCAAAAGUUUUAUGCACAGAUUACCAAAUAUUUGAGGAUGAGAAACUAUGUAUCUCUACACAGUUUGAAGUGCAAAGGUUACCAAAGGAUUUAAGGAUGAGAAAUUUUGAAACUCUCACCGUCUAAGUGCAAAGGUUAUGAAUUUAUUUAAGGUACAUAUGGAAGGAGUGGUGUAUUAACAUGAGCACAACUAUCAGCAGCAUUGGGAACAUG